rnacentral:rRNA from 1 species
ACGGACGAGAAGCUUGCUUCUCUGAUGUUAGCGGCGGACGGGUGAGUAACACGUGGAUAACCUACCUAUAAGACUGGGAUAACUUCGGGAAACCGGAGCUAAUACCGGAUAAUAUUUUGAACCGCAUGGUUCAAAAGUGAAAGACGGUCUUGCUGUCACUUAUAGAUGGAUCCGCGCUGCAUUUCGUAGUUGGUAAGGUAACGGCUUACCAAGGCAACGAUACGUAGCCGACCUGAGAGGGUGAUCGGCCACACUGGAACUGAGACACGGUCCAGACUCCUACGGGAGGCAGCAGUAGGGAAUCUUCCGCAAUGGGCGAAAGCCUGACGGAGCAACGCCGCGUGAGUGAUGAAGGUCUUCGGAUCGUAAAACUCUGUUAUUAGGGAAGAACAUAUGUGUAAGUAACUGUGCACAUCUUGACGGUACCUAAUCAGAAAGCCACGGCUAACUACGUGCCAGCAGCCGCGGUAAUACGUAGGUGGCAAGCGUUAUCCGGAAUUAUUGGGCGUAAAGCGCGCGUAGGCGGUUUUUUAAGUCUGAUGUGAAAGCCCACGGCUCAACCGUGGAGGGUCAUUGGAAACUGGAAAACUUGAGUGCAGAAGAGGAAAGUGGAAUUCCAUGUGUAGCGGUGAAAUGCGCAGAGAUAUGGAGGAACACCAGUGGCGAAGGCGACUUUCUGGUCUGUAACUGACGCUGAUGUGCGAAAGCGUGGGGAUCAAACAGGAUUAGAUACCCUGGUAGUCCACGCCGUAAACGAUGAGUGCUAAGUGUUAGGGGGUUUCCGCCCCUUAGUGCUGCAGCUAACGCAUUAAGCACUCCGCCUGGGGAGUACGACCGCAAGGUUGAAACUCAAAGGAAUUGACGGGGACCCGCACAAGCGGUGGAGCAUGUGGUUUAAUUCGAAGCAACGCGAAGAACCUUACCAAAUCUUGACAUCCUUUGACAACUCUAGAGAUAGAGCCUUCCCUUCGGGGGACAAAGUGACAGGUGGUGCAUGGUUGUCGUCAGCUCGUGUCGUGAGAUGUUGGGUUAAGUCCCGCAACGAGCGCAACCCUUAAGCUUAGUUGCCAUCAUUAAGUUGGGCACUCUAAGUUGACUGCCGGUGACAAACCGGAGGAAGGUGGGGAUGACGUCAAAUCAUCAUGCCCCUUAUGAUUUGGGCUACACACGUGCUACAAUGGACAAUACAAAGGGCAGCGAAACCGCGAGGUCAAGCAAAUCCCAUAAAGUUGUUCUCAGUUCGGAUUGUAGUCUGCAACUCGACUACAUGAAGCUGGAAUCGCUAGUAAUCGUAGAUCAGCAUGCUACGGUGAAUACGUUCGGGUAUUGUACACACCGCCCGUCACACCACGAGAGUUUGUAACACCCGAAGCCGGUGGAGUAACCAUUAGGAGCU